UAAAGCGUGCGCAGGCGGUUUUGUAAGACUGUCGUGAAAUCCCCGGGCUCAACCUGGGAAUGGCGAUGGUGACUGCAAGGCUAGAGUUUGGCAGAGGGGGGUAGAAUUCCACGUGUAGCAGUGAAAUGCGUAGAUAUGUGGAGGAACACCGAUGGCGAAGGCAGCCCCCUGGGUCAAAACUGACGCUCAUGCACGAAAGCGUGGGGAGCAAACAGGAUUAGAUACCGGGU
rnacentral:rRNA from 1 species